UUAACACAUGCAAGUCGAACGAUGAAGCCCAGCUUGCUGGGUGGAUUAGUGGCGAACGGGUGAGUAACACGUGGGUGAUCUGCCCUGCACUUCGGGAUAAGCCUGGGAAACUGGGUCUAAUACCGGAUAGGACCUCGGGAUGCAUGUUCCGGGGUGGAAAGGUUUUCCGGUGCAGGAUGGGCCCGCGGCCUAUCAGCUUGUUGGUGGGGUAACGGCCCACCAAGGCGACGACGGGUAGCCGGCCUGAGAGGGCGACCGGCCACACUGGGACUGAGACACGGCCCAGACUCCUACGGGAGGCAGCAGUGGGGAAUAUUGCACAAUGGGCGCAAGCCUGAUGCAGCGACGCCGCGUGAGGGAUGACGGCCUUCGGGUUGUAAACCUCUUUCAGUACCGACGAAGCGCAAGUGACGGUAGGUACAGAAGAAGCACCGGCCAACUACGUGCCAGCAGCCGCGGUAAUACGUAGGGUGCGAGCGUUGUCCGGAAUUACUGGGCGUAAAGAGCUCGUAGGCGGUUUGUCGCGUCGUCUGUGAAAACCCGCAGCUCAACUGCGGGCUUGCAGGCGAUACGGGCAGACUUGAGUACUGCAGGGGAGACUGGAAUUCCUGGUGUAGCGGUGA
rnacentral:rRNA from 1 species